rnacentral:rRNA from 1 species
GGUUGUAAAGCACUUUAAGCAGUGAAGAAGACUCCAUGGUUAAUACCCAUGGACGAUGACAUUAGCUGCAGAAUAAGCACCGGCUAACUCUGUGCCAGCAGCCGCGGUAAUACAGAGGGUGCAAGCGUUAAUCGGAAUUACUGGGCGUAAAGCGAGCGUAGGUGGCUUGAUAAGUCAGAUGUGAAAGCCCCGGGCUUAACCUGGGAACGGCAUCUGAUACUGUUAGGCUAGAGUAGGUGAGAGGAAGGUAGAAUUCCAGGUGUAGCGGUGAAAUGCGUAGAGAUCUGGAGGAAUACCGAUGGCGAAGGCAGCCUUCUGGCAUCAUACUGACACUGAGGUUCGAAAGCGUGGGUAGCAAACAGGGUCGACGCGGCCG